AACGAACGCUGGCGGCAGGCCCAACACAUGCAAGUCGAACGCCGUAGCAAUACGGAGUGGCAGACGGGUGAGUAACGCGUGGGAACCUACCUUACGGUCGGGAAUAGCUCAGGGAAACUUGGGGUAAUACCGGAUACGCCCUUACGGGGAAAGAUUUAUCGCCGUUAGAUGGGCCCGCGUCGGAUUAGCUAGUUGGUGAGGUAAUGGCUCACCAAGGCGACGAUCCGUAGCUGGUCUGAGAGGAUGAUCAGCCACACUGGGACUGAGACACGGCCCAGACUCCUACGGGAGGCAGCAGUGGGGAAUAUUGGACAAUGGGCGCAAGCCUGACCCAGCAAUGCCGCGUGAGUGAUGAAGGCCUUAGGGUUGUAAAGCUCUUUUACCCGGGAUGAUAAUGACAGUACCGGGAGGAUAAGCUCCGGCUAACUCCGUGCCAGCCGCCGCGGUAACAC
rnacentral:rRNA from 1 species